CCUACGGGUGGCAGCAGUGGGGAAUAUUGCACAAUGGGGGCAACCCUGAUGCAGCGACGCCGCGUGAGUGAAGAAGUAAUUCGGUAUGUAAAGCUCUAUCAGCAGGGAAGAAAAUGACGGUACCUGAGUAAGUAGCCCCGGCUAACUACGUGCAGCAGCCGCGGUAAUACGUAGGGGGCAAGCGUUAUCCGGAUUUACUGGGUGGAAAGGGAGCGUAGACGGCAGUGCAAGUCUGGAGUGAAAGGCGGGGGGUCAACCCGCGGACUGCUCUGGAAACUGUACGGCGGGAGUGCAGGAGAGGUAAGUGGAAUUCCUAGUGUAGCGGUGAAAUGCGUAGAUAUUAGGAAGAACACCAGUGGCGAAGGCGGCUUACUGGACUGUAACUGACGUUGAGGCUCGAAAGCGUGGGGAGCAAACAGGAUUAGAUACCCUUGUAGUC
rnacentral:rRNA from 1 species